rnacentral:rRNA from 1 species
UAUGUGAUCGUCUCUCGCAUAUCAAUAAGCGGAGGAAAAGAAGCUAACAAGGAUUCCCCUAGUAACGGCGAGUGAAGCGGGAAGAGCUUAAAUUUGAAAUCUUAAAGGGUUUCCCUUUACGAAUUGUAGUUUAAAGAAGUGUUUUCUGUUGAGGUUUUGGUAAAAGUUCUUUGGAAUAGGACAUCAUAGAGGGUGAGAAUCCCGUAUUUGACCUUUACUUUCAACUUUGUGAUACACUUUCAAAGAGUCGGAUUGUUUGGGAAUGCAGUCCAAAAUGGGUGGUAAAUUUCAUCUAAAGCUAAAUAUUGGCGAGAGACCGAUAGCGAACAAGUACCGUGAGGGAAAGAUGAAAAGAACUUUGAAAAGAGAGUUAAACAGUACGUGAAAUUGUCAAAAGGGAAGCGUUUGACACCAGUGUUAGUUUUUCUGAAAAUCAAUUAAAGAACUGUUUAUGCUAAGUUGUUUAGACUUUAUCAGCUAUCUGUUUAGUUUUGAGCUUUUCUUUAAUGCACUUUUCAGUUAACAAGUCAACAUCAAUUUCGUUUGCUGUAAAAAAGCUUGAGGAAGGUGGCUUGAGAUUCGUCUUAAGUGUUUAUAGCCUCUUGCCUAUGCAGUCGGAGAGAUUGAGGUCUGCAGCGUAGAUCCUUCGGGGCUAAAUGCAUUUGUGCUAAGUUAUAGCAUUUUAUAGACAACUUGUUGACUAUGAUUUGUCUUGUAGCUUACUCGCUUAUGUUAUUUUACCUACGCUUAGGAUGUUGAUCUACAGAGCGAGAGU